rnacentral:rRNA from 1 species
UGUUAAUAAUUUAUAUAAAAUAUUUUGAUGAAUAUUUAUAUAAUAUUAACAUAAUUCAUAUUACUAUAUAUUUUAGUAUAUGAAAUUUUACUUUGAGAAAAUUAGAGUGCUUAAAGCAGGCAUAUGCCUUGAAUACUCCAGCAUGGAAUAAUAUUAAAGAUUUUUAUCUUUCUUAUUGGUUCUAAGAUAAGAAUAAUGAUUAAUAGGGACAGUUGGGGGCAUUUGUAUUUAACAGUCAGAGGUGAAAUUCUUAGAUUUGUUAAAGACAAACUAAUGCGAAAGCAUUUGCCAAGGAUGUUUUCAUUAAUCAAGAACGAAAGUUAGGGGAUCGAAGACGAACAGAUACCGUCGUAGUCUUAACCAUAAACUAUGCCAACUAGAGAUUGGAGGUUGUU